rnacentral:rRNA from 1 species
AGCAGCCGCGGUAAUUCCAGCUCCAAUAGCGUAUAUUAAAGUUGUUGCAGUUAAAAAGCUCGUAGUUGAAUUUCGGGAUUAGUACGCUGGUCGUGCCUUCGGUACGUACUGGUGUUACUGAUUCCUACCUUCUGACGAACCAUCAUGUCAUUAAUUUGGUGUGGUGGGAAAUCAGGACUGUUACUUUGAAAAAAUUAGAGUGUUUAAAGCAGGCUCGCGCUUGAAUACAUUAGCAUGGAAUAAUGAAAUAGGACGUUGACCCUAUUUUGUUGGUUUCUAGGAUUGACGUAAUGAUUAAUAGGGAUAGUUGGGGGCAUUAGUAUUCAAUUGUCAGAGGUGAAAUUCUUGGAUUUAUUGAAGACUAACUACUGCGAAAGCAUUUGCCAAGGAUGUUUUCAUUAAUCAAGAACGAAAGUUAGGGGAUCGAAGACGAUCAGAUACCGUCGUAGUCUUAACCAUAAACUAUGCCGACUAGGGAUCGGAUGAUGUUAUUUUUAAUGACUCAUUCGGCGCCUUACG